UGAGGAAUUCAAUUAGGCAAAAUUAAGGCUCUAUUCAUGAAGGAUAUUGUUAUACACAAGUAUUUAAGUCCUGUGCAUCUUCAGCAUUUGAAGAUUUACAAUUAUAACAUGCCACACUUGUAUUUAUUAUUUGAAUUAAAUAAACUAAAAGAGAAGUCAUAAAACACUACAAGAAUAAGAUGAUAAGUGAAGCAUUAGCAUUGCUUAUAUGAGUCAUGUAUCUG
rnacentral:misc_RNA from 1 species